rnacentral:rRNA from 1 species
AACGCGAAGAACCUUACCUGGCCUUGACAUGCAAGUAGUAGAAGCCUGAAAGGGUGACGAAUCCGCAAGGAUAGCUUGCACAGGUGCUGCAUGGCUGUCGUCAGCUCGUGUCGUGAGAUGUUGGGUUAAGUCCCGCAACGAGCGCAACCCUUGUCCUGUGUUGGCAUGCCGCAAGGCGCAACUCGCAGGAGACCGCCAGCGAUAAGCUGGAGGAAGGUGGGGAUGACGUCAAGUCAUCAUGGCCUUUAUGUCCAGGGCCACACACGUGCUACAAUGGGCGGUACAAAGCGCUGCCAACCCGCGAGGGGGAGCUAAUCGCCAAAAACCGUCCUCAGUUCGGAUUGCAGGCUGCAACUCGCCUGCAUGAAGCUGGAAUCGCUAGUAAUGCUAUAUCAGAACGAUAGCGUGAAUACGUUCCCGGGCCUUGUACACACCGUACGUC